CAGCCCUUGACAUGCCCGGACAGCUACAGAGAUGUAGUGUUCCCUUCGGGGACCGGGACACAGGUGCUGCAUGGCUGUCGUCAGCUCGUGUCGUGAGAUGUUGGGUUAAGUCCCGCAACGAGCGCAACCCUCGCCCUUAGUUGCCAGCAUUCAGUUGGGCACUCUAAUGGGACUGCCGGUGAUAAGCCGAGAGGAAGGUGGGGAUGACGUCAAGUCCUCAUGGCCCUUACGGGCUGGGCUACACACGUGCUACAAUGGUGGUGACAGUGGGCAGCGAGGGAGCGAUCCCGAGCUAAUCUCCAAAAGCCAUCUCAGUUCGGAUUGCACUCUGCAACUCGAGUGCAUGAAGUUGGAAUCGCUAGUAAUCGCGGAUCAGCACGCCGCGGUGAAUA
rnacentral:rRNA from 1 species